GGUGGGGGCUGUCCAGCGGGUCUUUCACUGUCUCCCAGCCACAGCCUGGCCUCGGCUGGGGAGCCCGAGGCGCAGCCAACGACUGAGUCUCAAACAAAACACCGCGUGAAAAUACCGCAGGCAGGUAACCGGGUACCGGCUCCAACUGAGAAACCAGCUUCAGGUCCUGCCAAACGUCACGUCCUCUUCUCGCGCCAAAGAGGACGCGCGAAAACAGCAUCACUUCCGGCCAUGCGCACUUGCCUUCUAGCCCCUCUAGCUUCUACUCCCUAGAAAUCUCCGCGCUCUCUUCCUAGUCAAAACCUGUUCUCUCGGUGCCAGCUUUGUGAUCCGCACACCCUCCUGAAUCGUGCUUCCUAGAGAGGCUUCCGCCAGUUCUCGCUCCCUGAAUCUAUUUCCCAUCAUGCUAUGUCGCACAUGCUCUUCAGGUCCACCGAAUCCAACGCCUGGAGCCUCCGAGACAGGAAUCGACUUGGCGCUAAUGAUCAUGGGAGUUGUAGUUUUAGCGCAGACAACAAAUCACUGGUUCUCGGCUCCUGAUUUUUCAGUUGGUCACGUUCCCAGAGCAGCAGGUGAAGAGGGUUUUCUCCUUCCCGGACCUUCAAUUCAGGCCCAGCUCGACACCUUCACAUUCCUCUUGAGCCUCUCAGUGUGAACAGGGCUGCCACCGGUUGGUGGCCUGGAAUUCCCAAAGUAUAAAAUCAAUCUGCAGGAGGGAACCUCUUCAGUAAUUUCAGGGGCAGAAACACACUUUGAUAGUGUUUGAUCAGCACUGUUGCAAAAGGAGAUUCCUGAACUUUCUGUCCGUUGGAGGAUUCCCUGCUGCGUCAGGGGAUAUUUCAAUGGACCUCCUCAGAACAUUGAUGAAAAUUCUUCACCACCCAAGCAAUUUUCCGAUAACCCAAUUCAAUUUUAGAGGCAUUUUGACAAUAAGACGGGAAUGCGUUACCUGGGAAGCGGAAAUGAGUGUAGGGAUCCUAAGGCCUCUUCUCACGUUGUACGGUCUCGGCCCCUUUCAGUCACAGCUGGUAGCGUUUUUGCCAAUAUAACCCUCUUAACUUAGUCCUGUAUGAAUCUUACUGGAUUAACUCCAUUAGGCAAGUCACGCUCACAGAUCCCUUUGAGAUAAGCCCAUUUCCACUUUUGGCUUCUGAAAUUUGGGGCUUACGAUUUUGGAGGUCAGAAGUCGGAGAUGGAUAUCACUGGGGUAAAAUCAAGGUGUUGGCAGGGUUACAUGCCUUCCAGAGGCCCUAGGGGAGAAUCUGUUUUCUUGCCUCUUCCAGCUUCCAGGGCUGCCGACAUUCCUUGAUUUUUGACUCCUUCCAGUUGGUGCGGUUCUGCCUGCAGCCACAGGCCCAACAGGUGCUAACCCCACACUGGCCACUAGGUGGUAGCAGAGGGUUUCUUACCCAUGGCCCCUGGGAGGAAGCAGAGUGCUUCAGGCUUCAAUCGAUGCAAUUCCGCAUGUGGCCACUGGGCGGCUUAGGACCCAGAAGCCUUGUCUUAGGUUCCCAGAAGCCAGCAUUCUUCUGGAAGAGUUGGGGUGAGGGGAUGGGGAGCGGGAUGAGAUGGAGAUGGAGUGACUCUUGGUAGGCAGUGCAGAUUUCUACGGUUAUCCAGUACAGAGACCUGUCUUACGUGGGCUGGGUAGAGCACAGCUUCUGCUGGACCUGUCCUGUGGCAAUGCUUUAUCCUGCUCCUCUUCCCUAUGUGCCGGGCCGGGCUGGGCCGGGCUGGGCUGAUACUGGACUGCCAGCUGGGGCUGGUUCUUCCCAUCUUGUGCCCCGAUGGGAAGGCCCCAAGGCAGUCUCAGGGGACCUCUGAAGAGCACGUGUGUCCACCGUCCUUGGUACCUAUAACUGGGUACUGGUAGCAAUCAGAGGUGGUAUGGGUAGGAGUUGCUGAGGGAGCUGGGUAGGAAAUAAAAUAUAAAGAGAAACAUGUGGAAAUAUUUCACGUCUCUUUCAGAGGCACACCUUGGACAUCACACCAGCUUUGCUCCACCACAGCCUCAUCACCACCACCAGCUAACAGCAACAAACACUUAUUCUAUGACAUCCUCAGUUCUAAGUGCUUGACAUAAUUAUUUCCUUUCAUCCUCACAACAAUCCUAUGAGGGAGACAGCAUCAUUAUGCCCAUUUUACAGAUGAAUAAACUGAGACCUGGAGAGGUUGUGACUUGGCCAGGUCACAUAGUGAGUAGUGCAACUAGAACUGGAACCAAGUCCACUGGCUCUCACCAUGCUGCCAUGGCUCCUGGCCCCUGGAUUAAAGAGGAAAGAGACCACAGUAGGACUGAAGCCACAGGAGGUUUUCUUGCCCACAAGUUUAAUCAUCUCCCUUGCAGCCUGGGGGAGGGAGGUGUGUGAGCCAUCCCCUGCCUUCCCUCUGGUCCUUUGCCAAUCCCCAUGUGCAGAGGCUGGGGAUGGCCAAGCAGGAGCUGGAAGCAGCCUCUGCUUGAAGUUCAACGUGAAGAAGUUUCCAGUGCAAAGACCUGUCUUCUGUGAGGUGGCUGAGAGUGGGUGGCCUGUUAGAUUGAGUUGUCUUUGGUGCUGACUCACUGAGAACAGAUUCUGAGACGGCAGGGAGUAGGCCCCUGUCAGACACAGCCUGCGUAUAACCUUCUGGGGUGCAGGACAAACAAUAGCUUGAAGCAACCUCAGGAGAGCUGCAGGAGAACUGGCCACGUGUGCAACAAGCGGACAGAAAAUCGGUCAGGAUGCCGCAGACCCGAUCCACGCUAAACAAGCUGGCAUUUGCAGGACACUCGCUGACAUGACAGUGCGGUUCUCGGCCCAGCCAGUGGCCACAUGCAGCACUAACAACAGUGUAGAUGUGCAGUUGUCCACACAGAAGAUGAGCCUACACUUGGACAUGACCUUGCUUCUGGAAGGCCCCAGGAAUUUGGACUUUGCUAAAGCUGAGAGCUUUCCCGCGUGUUACUUGGCCCAUUUUACUACAAUCAGAGAGCUGCUGUAGGAUCUUCCAGAAACCAACCCUGGGGUCCCGUCCUGUUCUCCCCACCGCUCUGCCCUGAACCAAUGCCCAGCUCUCCAGGCUCGUUAUAGCUUAAUAGAUGGUGCCAAGGUGGGUGCACACAGGGGCUGCACACCAGGGAAGUGAGUACAGCAGAUUAUGGGAUGGGAAGUAAACCCACAAAGGUUCUCAGAGGCCGGUUUAUGGGACAGGAAACUGCCCUCCUCAACUGCAGCUCACAGAGAGGCCGGGACCUGACUUUGAGUCAAGUCUUUAUUUGGCAACAAAUGCAUUCCUGUGAGGAGACCAUGGGCCACCACCCAGCCUCCAAAAGCACCUCCUCCAGAAAGUGAGGAACCAAGAGUCCCCUCCUCCACGGUCGCUUCGUAUCACGACAGGGAGGGCACACGGAGGCCUGCCACAGGGCACUGAAGACCCUCCGAGAUGUCCCCUCCUCCUCAGUCUCAGAGCAACGGUGGGAGCUGGACCCAGGGACUGGGAACCUCAUGCCCGU